UUAUAACCACAUGUACAGCAACGUGUGAGUACAUGGUCCAGGUGUCUGUGUGUUUGUAGCCACUGUUGCAAAUAUAAGGUUUGCUGGAACCCUCCUUAUUGUGGAAGAACAUUUUUGUAUACCACAAGCUUAAGUUACUUUAUUUGAACUCAUAUGCAGGUAACCACAAUCUCCACACAGCUUUUAAAACAGCACAAGCAGUGACCAAGACUCCACCUUGGUUGUAUACAAAACAGGAGGAGGACAGGGUCAUCAUUACUGUAACAGAGGUGGAUAAACAUGGAUCUCCAGAGUCUUUAACUAGCAGAAGCAGUUCAUGAAUUGUAGGGUCAAUAUCCUGAAUGGCGCGUUUUGUCUUUAUUUCCCCAGUUCGAAGGACAACACUGAACAACGUAGGAUCUGUGGCAUCAAUUCUUCAGGGAUAGAGUAACGGAACUGUGCAUGUGUCAGAUUUACGAGCAGCCACAAAGGAAAGAGAUGCAGUAUCCCCACUUG